GGGUUUGUAGCUCAGUGGUAGAGCGCUUGCCUAGCACGUGUGAGGCACUGAGUUUGAUUCUCAGCACCA
rnacentral:tRNA from 1 species